CAGCCUUUUCCUUCACCAACGUUGGCCUCAGUGCACUAACAGCUAUUAAAACUUGAGGUCUCUGGUUUGAAGCAGGACUCAAUUCACUGUAGGAUCCGAGUUACAGGGUGACUGCAUAUUUUCCAAUCAAGGAAGAGCCAAACAGUCGCAUACUGUCAAUCCUGGAGGCAAAAUGAUUCAGGUAAAGAACCACACAUAUAAUCUCCACUCAAACUAGACCUAAAUCACUUGAACCAUACGAACCACACGAGGAUACAACUGUAAAAUGCUUCAUAAACAAGGACUUCCCUCCUUCCUAUCAUCUGUUUUAUUUGACAGAAAAUUGAAUAUCUUAUCUUUGUGAAGUGCUAUCACUGAGACACUGGAAAUGUGUAACCACUUUCUCAGAAUAUGUAGACAAAACUAAUUAUAGAUAGAUAGAUAGAUAGAUAGAUAGAUAGAUAGAUAGAGAGAUAGAUAGACAGAUAGAUAGAUGAUUACAUUGACAUUGACAACUGAUUUGGACAAAGUAUAAAGGAUAAAAAUCAAUCAUGCAGAAGCAAGGAAAACUCUUAGCUCCCCUCUGCGUUUCUUCUUCUUUCAGUGAUAACUUAGUUUAGAGACAUUUUUUCUAAUCAUUACAUUAUUGUAACAGAAGUAAAAUAAAGUACAUGCUAAUUUCCUAGCUUUGCAUACAGGAGGUAGAUUAAGUUAAACCAACAAAUACAUAUUUUAAAAAACUGGUCUGUCAUGUUUACCUUCCCAGCCUCAUGACCCUAUUUAAGCUGUUGCCAAUUCAUAUAUCAAAUAAACCUUUUGUUCUGGAGCUGCUGUGGAACAGAAGGCAAAAUGGUUCAAACUUUAACACAAGGUCUGGGGUUUGAUUCCAUGUUUAGAUAACGGGCUAUUAUCUGGCCCAUACGUAAAAUAGCAGAAGCUGCUCAAAUACAUUUAAAUAAAAUGUAGGCUAUUUUUGUGGUCUCUUGGUGAUGUGUAUUCUGGAUUGUAUUAAUCCAGAAUAUUCUUAGCCAAUGCUGUUUCUCCAAGGUGACUUUAAUGGUAUAUCUGACAACGCUAUGGUCAGCUGAAGGCCCAGAAAAAAAGUUACAUGUGGAGGUUGGAGGCUUGAUCCAAGACUAACCAGGUUUAGAUGUCAAUGUGUCCUUGAUCAAGAUACUUGAAGGACUGUCCACCUAAUCGUCUGUAAGUGAAGUUUCAUUUUAAGACUGUUUUAUUAUCAAACUCAUCAAUACUGUGUCUUUUUUAUAAGUUGUACGACUCACAUUUUCCUACUGUCACAUGUAAAGUAAAUAAUCCAGCUACCAUGUAUUAAAAAAAAACAAAAAACAAAAAAAACAGGAAUAGACUUCCUUUCACAGGCACAAACACACUUUCAGUUUCCAAUAGAAACACACAAACACAGUAAACAAACCCCCGGGCCCCUGAUCACAGAACUCUGAUGUUGCCCCAGCUUGUGCCAUCAGUGUCCACCCUAAAAAAGACACUGAGACUAUCAAGAGCAGCCAGUGUGACACUGUUAUCUGCAGCAGGUCGUGGAAGAGACAGGCUGUAUCUCACAGUACAAAUCACUCGAUGAUUGCACGUUUAGUACAGUGUAGGUUUUUAAAGGUGACACAGUGUGGCCUUCCUUUCAAGACCGCUCAGAGCUCAUUAAAAAUAGAUGAGGAAAAAAGUAGCUCUUACGUCAAAGUGACGUGCUGCCAAGUGUGAUGGCAGUGUAGGGUUGUGAGCCUCCUUCACUGUCUCCUCAGAGAACAUUACGUGGCUCUGAUAAAGUGAACCUGGUUUUAGCGAUAGUUCACGAGCAGAAACGCUGUUGUUGUUGUUGGCAACAGUGGAGCUGAUAGAGGGCCCACAGCUUGUGUUAUGUCACUGAACACUAACCACAUUCAGAUAAAGCUCACACAGGCUGCCUUGUAUGCGGCCCUUGCAGGUUAAGUUCAAGAGAAAAUGUGUGCCAAACAAAAUUAAUUCUUUGUUGUUAGAAGUCAAUACAAAUGUCACACAGUUGUUGGCCAGGGUUUUAAAGGAUUACACUACUUCAUUUGAACCUGCUGCGAAUACAUGGGCUUGAACUUCAGGGCCCACAAUUCAUUCAUGGUGAUGCCAAAGUGUGCCUGGACAAGACACUUAACCUGAAGUUACCUGCUGCAGAUGGGCCUUCAACAUGAAGACAGGAAUAAUAAAUAGAAUAAGUGAAAUGGGUGAAAUGAAUGUAGAAUAAACCAUCAGGCCAGGUCCGUUAUAAAGGGGCUUGUAAUUAUGGAAAGUCCUCAUUAAGUUAAGAACUGUCAGAAAACAGAAAUGCAUAUGACAACAUGACCACACACAGGCUUGAUCAUCAACAGCACAGUAUGUCUGAGUCAGCUUUGGUUGGUUGUGCAUACUGUUUCAUGCACACAGGCACAUACAGUAACUUGUAUAGCGCUUAAAAUGCAGGUGGCUGUGCUAAAGUGGAGCACUGUGCUUGGAGCGUGAAUAUUGAGGUUUAAAAACAGAAACAUGAGACUAUUAAAGGGUCUGAGCGUCUGCUGCAGGCCCGGGGGCAGGAGAAAGUGCCACCUGGACAAUGUGCGACAAAUGUCCUGGAAAAGGAGGACACAUGUAAGUCGUAGGCAAUGCCCACAUCUCCUCUGAUAAUGCAGUUUGAUGCCCUCACAUAACAGUGAAAUACAACAGCAGAAGUAUGUCAGGUUGUAAAGACUUUUACUCCACCUGAUGAAUGGACCCAGGGGAGGGACUUUAGUAAUAACUCAUCCAUUUUUUUUAUCACUUCCACGUUUGCUUUAGGCUCACUCUACAUCCACUGUAGUGCACACAACUUGUCUGUCCCAGCGUACAGGCAGGGUUGCCAGGUAGCUGUCACCUGGGCAAUUUUUCAAUUUUUAUUUAGCAACAGUAGGAAGAGUAUUCCUUCAGAUACUUAAUGUUAAUUUGUGCUAGCUAUACUUUAAGUUCAUUUGUUAAUGGCUUUAGUUAAGUUCAGGUGUAUUUGGGCUUCUCUAAGUUGUUUUAAUUUAUUUAAUAUGGGCCUAUUUUCGUCUGUCUUUAAUCUACAAACACUACAUUCUUUUUGACAGUGUUUUACUUCACACCUAAUCAUAUAAUAAUUUAGAUUUGCACAAAAACCAAAUCUCUUUAAUACUAUGACCUACAUAGCAAAAUAUAUGGCAGUUGUUGGUGUUACACAAGGUAUGAUGGAUGCAUUUUACCUAUAUUUCUGCAAAGGUUAACUAGUAUAUUUACAGGGCAAUAAAACCCUGGUUAUGACAAUUUAUAAAAAAAGUAGAUAUUUCAAGGUCAUUUUACAGUUUUACUAAUUUUUGACUCUUAUAAACACUACAGUUGUCGCUUUACUACUGCAUCACAGGGAUAUUUAAUCAUUUGUUUAGUUUGAAGGAGUGACACGGAUGAGCUGCUGUAUUGAAUGUCAUGGAAGAACUUCACUGCUUUGUUUACUUUUUUGUGUGACAGAACAAAGUGGAACGGUUCCACUGGACAACACCCAGGCAGACAUGUGCUCUGUGUUAAAACCAACAGUACACUGACAACCAAAAUGAUAAGGCAAAUAAAAAGCAUCUGGUAAGGGCUCCAUGUUUAAGAAUUCCUGCUAAUAAAGAAGCUUACAGUGUUUCUACUUGACUUGAUGUGACGCACCUUCCACUGCUGCUCCAUCAACACUGUGAGAGAGAUUGUGUUUUGCCACCAACAGCCAGCUUUUGUUCUUUAAAGCCACUGGGGCACAAGUGAAGGACGGACAGAAUUUGAACUACAGCCGAAUCUGUGUCUUUGAGGUUAACUUAUCGCAGCAGUCACCAUGUCAACAACGGCCGUGUUUAAGCUUCUUGGAAGUGAUUAGGAAGCUUAACUGCACUUAUAUCCUAGCGAAGGAGGUAAAACAGUGGGUCUGUUUCCAGCCUGUCCCAAGGCCACAGAGCUGCAGCACUAAUUUGAUGUGUUGUCUCAGGUUAAGAGGGCAGUGGGCUUUAAAUAUCAAAAUCCUAACAGUGAUGAACACCUACAGUUAAAGAGUUUGAGUCAAGGCUGCAUCUUUAACCAAAACUGAGACUUAAAUGAGAUUCUGUCUGCACCAUAGGAGGACACCUGCAGUGAAGUGACAGGUGGUCUCCUCCGGGAAGAAGUCCCCACCUGUGGCUGCUGCAGAAUGAGGUUUGGGGGCAGAUUCCCAUUACGCUGUCUAAUCCCUGACUAUCUGUCCUCCAGUGAUUCCUCCAGAGUUGCCUGUUCUUAACCAUUCAGCUGUGGAGAGCUUUUUCAGUGUUGAUAAAGUGUGGUGUUGAGGUGUAAAACUUAAAUCACACGUUGUGAUAUUGAACCAUGCAAGCAAGAAAAGUGGCAGCUGUUACUGUUGCCUGUAAUAUUUGCAAAUACUGACACUAGGCCUGCCUCACUUCUAAUCACCACAGUUGAAAAAUAAGAUGCUGGCACAACACAUGGAGCUAAAUUCAAUAGACACAUCUCUGCACAGGCUGUACAUUCUGUCUGUAGUAUCAGACUGGAACAGUGUCAGUGGCUCAUCUCAGCUGCCCAUCAGUUGCUCCCAGUGUUCACGUGAGAGAGCUUGCCUUAUGGUGAGCAGUUGAUAACAAAAACAGAGAUUAGAGAGGGGAUCAUGGCAGCAUGUAGAGUGAGAGGUUCAGUUGGACCGGCUGCUGAUGGUAUGACCGGCUGUUACAGGCCUGAAACAGCCCGACUUAAGUCCAACAACCAAUAUAAAUGCUGAUGCUGGUUUAAAGCUAAGUUUAGGAGGCUACAAAGUCAUAUAUAGAUUUAAACUGGGGGAAGAAAAAAAAAACAAUCUCCAUACAGGUCCAGUCAGAACCUGGUAAACUGAAUGACUUUUCCUGUUUGGCAACUUAAAUUCUAGACUUUUUUUUAUCCUUACCUGUAGUUCACACCAUGCCACCUCCACUGUCGUCUCUGUGUCCAGUCCUUUAUAGACGGUCUUGAAGGACCCUCUUCCAAUCUCUAUGUUGAAUUUCAGAUAUCUCCCAUCAGAAUCUGAACUGGCCUCGUGGGCGCUCGAUCUCGCCACGGGAUCCCAGUUUUCUGGGAGACAGCCGGCGUCGGGCUCCUGGCUGCUGAGGGGCGUGUUGGAGCUGGUACCUGGACUGGAAGCCGGCGACGGAGACUGCGCCCGUAGGAGUUUCUCCGUGCGCCCAAGCCGUGCGUCCUGAGCACGGAUGGCACCCUGGACAGACAGUCGUCGCUCAUGUUGACAGACAGACCUGGGAAAACGCGUCCUGGUAUCUCAACCUGAGCAUGGGACAUGGUUG